rnacentral:rRNA from 1 species
GACAGAGGGGGCAAGCGUUGCUCGGAAUCACUGGGCGUAAAGGGCGCGUAGGCGGGAUGGCAAGUCAGUCGUGAAAUCUCUCGGCUCAACCGAGAAACGUCGGCUGAUACUGCCGUUCUUGAGGGAUGCAGAGGAGACUGGAAUUCCCGGUGUAGCGGUGAAAUGUGUAGAGAUCGGGAGGAACACCGGUGGCGAAGGCGGGUCUCUGGGCAUUUCCUGGCGCUGAGGCGCGAAAGCGUGGGGAGCAAACGGG